rnacentral:rRNA from 1 species
UCAGGACGAACGCUGGCGGCCGCGCCUAACACAUGCAAGUCGAACGAGCGAGAGAGAGCUUGCUUUCUCAAGCGAGUGGCGAACGGGUGAGUAACGCGUGAGGAACCUGCCUCAAAGAGGGGGACAACAGUUGGAAACGACUGCUAAUACCGCAUAAGCCCACGGCUCGGCAUCGAGCAGAGGGAAAAGGAGCAAUCCGCUUUGAGAUGGCCUCGCGUCCGAUUAGCUAGUUGGUGAGGUAAUGGCCCACCAAGGCGACGAUCGGUAGCCGGACUGAGAGGUUGAACGGCCACAUUGGGACUGAGACACGGCCCAGACUCCUACGGGAGGCAGCAGGUGGGGAAUAUUGCACAAUGGGGGAACCCUGAUGCAGCGACGCCGCGUGGAGGAAGAAGGUCUUCGGAUUGUAAACUCCUGUUGUUGAGGAAGAUAAUGACGGUACUCAACAAGGAAGUGACGGCUAACUACGUG